AGAUCCCUGUAAAACUGAGCCGUAUUAGCGCUGUGGAUAGUGAGAGAAUGCCCACAUACCUGGCCUUUGCCAGUGUGGCUGAUUAUGGCUUCCGGUUGGCUUUGUGUGUUACGUCCCCUGCCUCUGCUGGUCUGGGUAGUGCAGGUGGAGGUGAUUACCUAACUGCUUAAUUGCUUGAUUGCCUCCACCUGCCUGUGGCCCAAUAUAAGCCUGGCAGGGAGGCAGGGAGAGAUUUUCUUUGGGGUCUUCUGUGUAGAGAUUCUUUCUUUGAGGUCUUCUUUGGAGCGGUACGUUGGCCUUCUUUGUUGCGGCCCUUCGAGCCGGCCGUAACACGGUGGCAGGGGAGCGUAGGUGUUCGCUGAGCAGAGGCGAGAAACAAAGCGCUCGGUCAGGUACGGGCGGCGGGGAGACGCCGCGAGGAUGGGAGCCCAGGGGCGUCAACCUCUUCGCUCCGAAAUUACAUCCUCGCAGACCCAGGGGCCACCGGUCUGUUUUUUAGGGCACCCAUAGACCCUCCAAAAGAGCACCCUUUGGCCACCUUCCUUGGAUGCAGCCUUUAUGAAGCAUAACAGCACUCUAAAUUAAAAGGACUGUUGACUUUAAAGAGGGCUAACCCAAUUUGAGUAACAUGAUUUCCUACCCUUUGGCAGAACUACAGGAAAAUUAUGCAGCUCAAAAUGGCUUCCAGCCAAGUUUCUGGCAGCCGCCUCCCUCGUCAGUUGUUAACUGCUUUGGAUUUUGGCAACACUUUGGUAAAGCUUUAGCGUUCUCAUAAUCUAAAACGCAUUUAAGGUCACUGAUGGCUUUCAUCUUCUAAAAUUAGCAGUCAGGGAGCCAUUGUCAAGUGAACUUUUUUUUUUUUGGUAAUUACAACUCAGAAAUGUCACUUUCCCAAAUGUCUAUAGACCCGAGUCUAAAAUUCACUUAAAAUAAAUGUUUGAAUUAGGAUCUGGAAAAAAUUUGUGCUUGCUGAUAUGUAUAAAUUUGGCGACAGUCCACUCAAUGUCCCUUGCCAUUUCUGUCCACGGUAGCCCAUCAGUAAUUAUUUCCAUUAAACUGUUUUAAUCUGAGCCACUCCUCAA